rnacentral:misc_RNA from 1 species
GAUGAAGAACGUAGCGAAAUGCGAUACGUAAUGUGAAUUGCAGAAUUCAGUGAAUCAUCGAAUCUUUGAACGCAUAUUGCGCUCUCUGGUAUUCCGGAGAGCAUGCUUGUUUGAGUAUCAGUAAACACCUCAACUUCCAUAUCUUUUUUUGAAAUGGGAGUUGGACUUGAGUGAUCCCAGCGCUUUUCCUCACCGAAAAGUGGCGGGUUACUUGAAAUGCAGGUGCAGCUGGACUUUUCUCUGAGCUAUAAGCAUAUCUAUUUAGUCUGCCUAAAAAACAGAUUAUUACCUUUGCUGCAGCUAACAUAAAGGAGAUUAGUUCUUGUGCUGACUGAUGCAGGAUUCACAAAGACAGCUUCGGCCGACUUUGUAAACUCGAUCUCAAAUCAAGUAAGACUACCCGCUGAACUUAAGCAUAUCAAUAAGCGGAGGA